UGAACGUUAGUAAUACGAGAUAGUAAAGUAAAUAAAUACAACUAGAGAGUCAGUGGUCGGUGUGAACUGAUGGUUUAUUUAUUUGAAUCCGUCGUAUGAAGUAAACAAUGAAAUCAAACUAAAAUUGACUAAAUUGUUUCAGCUCCAGACUGUUAUCUGAUGUGAAGUGUAGAAGUGAAUUAAAGACUUCUGAAUAUGGGUGGUACCGCGAUUAGUUUAGGCCAUUUCGUCCCUGUG
rnacentral:ncRNA from 1 species